CCGUAAACAAACAAGUGAGAGCGGCAUUAAGGAAACGAAGAGAAGUUUUCCCUCUGGCAGCGAAAACAGAGAGAAGAAAAAAAGAGGAAGAGGAGAAAAGAAAGCAAGACAGUGUUUUGACCUGACCUGUGGGGGGAGCUGAGAAAAGUGGUGUUUGGACACUGGGUGGAGCAUAUGGAGUCACUGCAACAUCUCCAGGUACAACAACGAAUGAUGGCGGCUACAAGACAAACACAAACGAAACAAGAACACUGGAGCGUCCUUCAUGAUGGCGGACUGGAUCGAUUUCCGGGUCAAUGGGAUGCAUCCACACACUUGCAGCGCAGCAGGCAAAUCCUGAGACGGUGAUUGAAACAACGAGCUCCAAGACAUGGAAAACAGCCAAGACCCCUGAAAACCCCUGCAUCCGAAUCUAGAAAACAAACACAGGAAGCUGUAGUUGGUAAAUGAUCCCUAA